rnacentral:rRNA from 1 species
UACGUAGGGGGCUAGCGUUGUCCGGAAUCAUUGGGCGUAAAGCGCGUGUAGGCGGCCCGAUAAGUCCGCUGUGAAAGUCCAGGGCUCAACCCUGGGAUGCCGGUGGAUACUGGCGGGCUCGAGUCCGGAAGAGGCGAGUGGAAUUCCUGGUGUAGCGGUGAAAUGCGCAGAUAUCAGGAGGAACACCAAUGGCGAAGGCAGCUCGCUGGGACGUGACUGACGCUGAGACGCGAAAGCGUGGGGAGCAAACAGG